rnacentral:piRNA from 1 species
UAGGAAAUUUGAGUGUUCCAUCUCUGAGC